rnacentral:rRNA from 1 species
GACGUAGGGCGCGAGCGUUGUCCGGAUUUAUUGGGCGUAAAGAGCUCGUAGGCGGCUUGUCGCGUCGACUGUGAAAUCCCGAGGCUCAACCUCGGGCCUGCAGUGGGUACGGGCAGACUAGAGUGCGGUAGGGGAGAUUGGAAUUCCUGGUGUAGCGGUGGAAUGCGCAGAUAUCAGGAGGAACACCAAUGGCGAAGGCAGAUCUCUGGGCCGUAACUGACGCUGAGGAGCGAAAGCAUGGGGAGCGAACAGG